GGGGAGGAUUCGGCGAGGGUGGGUCGCAAGCGACCGAGCUUGCCUGCAAGUGAACAAAAGGAGGUGUGAGGAGGACACCAUGAAUGAGCGAAUGGAUUGGCUUGUUUCAGAGACAUCAGCCUAUGCAAGUUACCUGUACCUGCGGACAAAGUGAGUCGGCAGACACGCCACGUGGCGUCAAAGGUCCGAAAUGGGAUUCCGCAGCGGGCGACAGCUGAAGUUUUGGCAGGUGGACUCGCACCCGGGCCAGUUGCACACGCCGUGACCGUACAGGACAUUUGGAGCUCCGAAGUCAGCUUGACUGAAGCUGGAUGAAGAACCACAUCAGGACCGUUGGGAUACCUGGUGGAGGAUGAAGGCCUUCUGCUUGUGCUGCAUCAGAGCGUGCAGCUGGCCGCUGGACAGAGGCCGCGUCACCUGACGAGGAGUCAUCAUGGCCAGGAAGACCUUGACAAGGAAAACCGUGGGCCGAAUGA